rnacentral:tRNA from 1 species
GCAUCGAUAGUUUAGGGGUAGAAUUGAAGCUUCCCAUCUUGCCAUAGACGGACUUUCUUUAGGCACGGGUUCGAUUCCCGUUCGAUGCA